rnacentral:rRNA from 1 species
GAUGAACGCUGGCGGCGUGCCUAAUACAUGCAAGUCGAGCGAACAGAUAAUGAGAUUGCUCCUUUGCCGUUAGCGGCUGACGGGUGAGUAACAAGUAGGUCACCUACCUCUAAGUCUGGAAGAACUCCGUGAAACAGGGGCCAAUGCAACAUAACACGUUGAACCGCAUGAAUCUACAGAGAAUGGCGGCUUGCCUGUCAGUUAUAGACGGUCUCGUGCCGUAUUGGCUGGUUGGUGAGGUAACGGCUCACCAAGGCAACGAUCCGUAGCUGACCUGAGAGGGUGAUCAGCCACACUGGAACUGAGACACGGUCCAGACUCCUACGGGAGGCAGCAGUGGGGAAUCUUGGGCAAUGGGCGAAAGCCUGACCCAGCCACACCGCGUGAGUGAAGAAGGUCUUCGGAUCGUAAAGCUCUUUUAUUGGGGAAGAAAAAAUGCAGAAGAAACUGUCGCUGUCCUGACGGUACCUAAAGAAAAAGCAACGGCUAACUACGUG